rnacentral:rRNA from 1 species
AUAGAUACCCCGAGGUAGUCCACGCCGUAAACGUUGGGCGCUAGAUGUGGGGACCAUUCCACGGUUUCCGCGUCGUAGCUAACGCAUUAAGCGCCCCGCCUGGGGAGUACGGCCGCAAGGCUAAAACUCAAAGGAAUUGACGGGGGCCCGCACAAGCGGCGGAGCAUGCGGAUUAAUUCGAUGCAACGCGAAGAACCUUACCAAGGCUUGACAUAUGCGAGAACGCUCUAGAAAUAGAGAACUCUUUGGACACUCGUAUACAGGUGGUGCAUGGUUGUCGUCAGCUCGUGUCGUGAGAUGUUGGGUUAAGUCCCGCAACGAGCGCAACCCUCGUCGCAUGUUGCCAGCACGUAAUGGUGGGAACUCAUGUGAGACUACCGGGGUCAACUCGGAGGAAGGUGGGGAUGACGUCAAAUCAUCAUGCCCCUUAUGUCUUGGGCUUCACGCAUGCUACAAUGGCCGGUACAAAGGGCUGCGAAACCGCAAGGUGGAGCGAAUCCCAAAAAGCCGGUCUCAGUUCGGA